UUUGUACAAACCAGAACAGUGUCAUUACAACCGCGCCGAUGCGCCGGGAUGAUGGCACUGCUGACCUCGGCCGCUGACCAACGAGUGUACUGCAUGCUGUCAACAGAUGGAUGGUCACGCAAGAACACGGCAACAAGAUAAUUGUACUCCUAUGCAUCAGGCGGUUUCUGCUGCAGAAAAAAUAUAUAUCACAGCACAUAUUGUAGGGGAGCAGGGGGAUCAAUUUAGCAGAGAAAAUGACUGACUAUUGCUUUAUUGAGUGUGUAAUGAUGUCCUCAGGCAGCAAGGCUGCUACAGUUUGGUUGGGUGAGAGCAGAAUGGCAGUCUAAUCUGGGUGUAGACUGCCAUCUAGUGGGAAAUAGGAAGCAUUGAGGAAUUGCUUUAAGAUUAACCAUCUGCUUCUACUCUUUCUAGUCUAGCUGCAGGCUGAGUGAUUCUGCGUGUGGUACCUCAGAUUUGGCUAAACAACUCAACGCUGUAGAUUUUAUUGUACGUAGCUUCACAGCUUUUGGAUGUUUUCAAGUAAAUGAUUCUAACUGCUAUUUGAAGAAGGAGUUUUCAGUUUAGCAGUCAAUUUUGCAUUCUGUGUUUCGCACCAGAAUACAGUUCAUACGUCUUCAUUUUGCACAAAAUUUGAAUUAGCAGAAGUUGUCAAAUAGAUUCAAGCAUCAUUAGCUAAGCCAUAAAGGCACAGAAUUACAUUGGGAAAUAUUUUUUGUUAAUUGCCGCAGUAUUGGAUUUCUUUCAUAAAUUGUACAAUACUUUACUACUGAACCCUUCUUCUAAAAGCAAUGCUGAACAUUUCUGUAUUCAGUGACUGCUUGUAUGCAUCAUCUCAGUGAAAAUGUGAUGGGUCCUCUGGUUGUGAUCUGGUUUUCUAUAUGUUUUUGGGAUGAAAUGGACAGCGUUUCUGCUGACCAUUCACGCUGCUAUCAGCAAGAAAUCCAUUCUUUUCACAGCGAUUUUCAUCAGGGCCCUUGUAAAAAGAUCAGUCACCCUACUGGAAGGCAGUGUUAAAAGAAAAAUAUACAGAAAACACUCAGAACAAAACUGACAUCCAAGUAUUGUUCAGCAUGUAAACAAAGAAAAAAUAUUUUAUUCUGCACACAUUGCAUGAAAGAAGAAAAUACAAACACUUGACUGGCCUGGUUUCAGUCCUAACAUGUUCUCAUUCGAGAGUGUGAGGAGAAUUGUGAAAUGAAAAAUGCAAGAAAAUGAUUCAACGUGGCUACACACUUAAGAAAGUCUUUGAAGAAGGAACAGGGUAAAAUAACAUCAGGCAGGCUUUGCUGUGUUGGAUCUUCAGUCAAUCUUUUGUUUAUGUGUUGUGGGAAGUAACUUUGACAAUGACAAGAGGUGAAAGUUUUACUGUCUUAUUUUUUGUGGCUAUAUGCUUGCAGGACAGGUAAGCAAGUCUAGACAUUCACCAUUUGAUUGGUUAAUUAUGAGACAAGACUUUAGACAUGACUUUAGACACAAUAUGAUUUUAAAUUGUGUGUGUAAGGCUGUUUGUCUUGUUUGUCUCUAUGUCACCCGGUAAUGAACUGGCAACCUGUCCAGGGUUUUAAAUCAGAGGUAUUCAGGAAACAUGCAGGAAAAGAAUAUUACUUAGAAUAGUACAAGAAGAUGCCUGAAUCCAACUGGUUUAAACUGAAUAAAUCUCUGUCUGAAAAAAAUGCACAGAAACUGACACCAAGUAAUGAAUGCAUGUCGAGAGCUUUAUCUCUGCCUGUUAUACUUUGUUUGAGGUCUUGUUUUAACUUGCUUGGACAGAAAUUAAGUCUCUGGACAUUUAGAUCACACCAUGCCAAAUGAUGCAGAAAAUGUGUGUAAAACAUUGAUUGGUGGGGAAUUGCUUUUUUAAAGACAGAGUCCCACAGCUGUCUAAACUAGGUCACCGAAAGUAGGAUAGUGGAUGUUCUGUGUUACCGGUGGCAUGCUUCCAAAAUCUGCUCAAAUAAUUCUGAUAAUUCAGCCCAGACAUAAAACAUGUGCGUGCCUUUUGCUUCACGGUGCAAAAUUGCAAAAGCUCAGCUGGUAUGACUUUAAUUAAGUUUAAAAUAUUUGCUAUCAUUUAAGUUUCAAAGCAACUUAAGCCCAUUUGGGGUAAUACAUCCCAAAAUGGUAUGCAUUACCAGACUUGAAAUUAUGAGUAUGUGGACCUAAGAUGUACAUGUCUAUAAAGAACCCUUUGGUUAAUUAAAGAUGUUCAAUAUAAAACCAAGAAUGUGUCCAGACGUAUAAUUUGGUCUUCACAAGUCAUUUUGCUUCACCAUGCUAAACUCUUGGAUGCUGAAGGACUUCCAGGAAACCUUUGUUGAGUGAAACCAGUGAUUAGUUUACAAAAAGUAUCAUCAGGAUGAUUGACAUAAAACCUGCCUCAGUCCAUCAGUAAAAAUCUUGCAGCCUUGUAUUGUGGUAGAAGAUUGAUGGAACUCUGUUUUGUAGAUAUUGCAAUAUGGAUGCAAGACAAGUCCUUUCCACCAGUGUACAGAUUUCAGCGCAGAGGUUGAAUCCUCGUAUGCAGCCUGGAAGAUGAGAAAAAAGUUCCAACUUGUGUCUAAACUGUGAAAUGUAAUAAUUGCAGUAAGAGAAAAAAAAAACCUGCCUUACACUGGACAUAAAAAACACAGAACUACCUGUAUUAUUAAGCGAGGCUGAAUAUUUUCUGUUUUAGGUCAGUUAGUAAUUACACACACAAUAUUUUCUGAACACUGUUAGAAAUGCUGGCUAAUUCCAGAGCAUUUUGUUGCAUUUUGUGUUUUCAAACAGUGACUGAACAUGCUCACAGACUCUGCUAUGACAUCAACGUCACAAAUUAACUUAAAUAACACUAGAGGGCAGUAAAAGCAAACUAAAACAUACAGUAUGCUUGUUUUUGUAUUAUACUAAUUAUGCAUCUAAAGGGCAAUAUGACUUGUUUUUUUUUCUGCUUAACAUUUCGCAAAUUGCAGAAUCCGCUUAUAACUGGAGCUGGCAUUGUCAAUUUAACACUUGUGUUUACAUUCUAGUAGUUUUGUACAGUUGGGCUCUUAAUUAGAGAAACGUGCAACGUGAGGAUCAAAGAGCAUGGAGAAAAAGAUAAACAUGCUGCAUAGCGAGCCUUCUCUUAAUUCAUGGAAUAAUAUUGGAGUCCAGUUUUUUAUAGGUGAAUAUAGACUCAGUCUAUGGCACUGUCUCCAUCCCAGUGCAUUAUUUCUUUACUCUCGCCUGUGAAUUUGAUCCUCCAGCCUUGGGCUGCAAUUGGUCAAGACACCCGACCCAGACAGACUCAUAUCCUUGGUUGGUGAGAUAUGGCAAAUAAUCUUAAGCUUCUCACCCCCUCUGAGGAUUAACUUUGCUGUCCAGUCAUCUUUAAGAAAUGCUCUACCUCUGGUUAGCCUUGGAUUGUAGAAAAAAAAAAAAAAAAACGUUAAGCAGGCAAUCUCUCAUCACAGGGAGCAUACAGCACUGAACCCAAGUGGUGAGCAUGUGCUUGCCAUAGAGUAGAUUUAGGCCAUAUAUUAAAUUGGAGAAGUAAUUGCCAGGAAACCUACAUCUGAGCUCAUUGCCCAACGUGCCUAGUUUCACUUUCUCAGUGCCCUGCUCUACCACCUUCCUCACUACUCAACUUCAGUUUUAUAUCCACCUUUUCCUUUUUCUUUUUAAAUUACACAUCCCACCAUCUACCAGUUUGUCUUCCUCACUGAGGAAACAUGAAACAAACUACCUUCUACACCGUUUUCUCCACCCUAGUCUUUGCAGCCUGGUUUGCAUUGGUAAAACUUCUCUGACAUUUCAGUGUAUUUUUUAUGUUACUGCACAAUGUGGAAGGAAAAUGUUGGCACUUGCUUGUAAAGUACAAUCUGUUGUCAGAUAAACUAUUAGUCACAUGUUUUUUUGUUUUUUUUAAUGGUCUUUAUAGAAGACUGGCAGAAAAAAAAUUAACAUUUACCACAAGCCUAUAUGAGAGACAUCAAAUAAAUUAAAUUUGGAUAGCUGACACUAAAGCAAAAGUGUUUGACCUACAUGCAAAAUAUUGUGCCUUGUGUGGACGAUGAAACAUGGAGGUGGCAGCAUCAUGCAGUGGGAUACUUGCUUUGGCAAAGAGGAGGAAGCUGGAAGCACUGUUUGCUUUUCUUCAGCAGGAAAAGGGUAGCAAAUCUGAUGUAGAUGUUACAUGUUUGUUAACCUCUGUUCAUUAAUUGUAAUUGUAAAUCACAGUUGUAAUAGCAAUGAAAUGUGUUUUUAAAAUGAAUGACUGGAGGGGAGCUGAGUUGUAAAAUCCGGAUUGUUUCCCUUCCUCUAAACCUAAACAUUUAGUGUAUCGUCUACCACAUAAAAUCCUAUUAAAAACACAAUGAAUUGUGUGGUUUUAAUGGAAUAAAACACCAAAAAGUUCAAUAAGUAUGAACUUCAAAGCACUGUACAACGCACAGCAAAUAUUCCCCACUGAGAUCUUAGAUGGAAUAAUGCAUCAAAAGUUUGUUGAUAAGUGUUAAAUAAAAAAAAGGAAAAUGCCGAACAACCUUGGGAUAUUCCUUUAGAAGACUGUGCUUUCCCAUAAUUCAUUUGUCCCUUCAGUCAAUUUUUCAAGUGCUGCUACUUUGAUUCAAAUGUUUGAUCUCCCCUGUAUGUUUCUGCUGAUUAUUUGAAGUUCAAAUGGGAUUUUUUUUUUUUUUUUUUUUUGCUCAGCAGGCGGUGUCCUUUCGACAGCAGCAUGUACAGUACAUUUGACUUCCAACUCUCCUUCUUUGAAGGGAUGAUUUGCUAUGCUUCUAGAUUUGGUGUUGCAGUUUGUGUAACGGUAAAUCAUGAUGCUUACACUUGAAAAGAGUCUGUUAGCCUUGAUAACAUUUCUGGUUUAAAUUCAGGUGAGACAUUUCUUUUUAAGGAAACAUGUGGGAAGAAAGGCUUAUGCUGAUUAUUCUCCAGGCUAAGCUUCAAUUUUAAUGGGAUCCCUUUUAAAUCAAACAGAAUGUAACUCCAAUUCUGGAAGACUGGAGUUAAAUCAACUUCUGCUGAUUCUCACCAGCAGACGUUAAGCAAUUAAAAGCAUAUCUGAUAUUUUAUGUCAUGCCAAAAUGAUUAAUCCACAAUUAGGCAUCCUGACAUAUUUGCACACUCACCACAGAUCAUAGGAAGAUCCAGGAAAGAAAAAAUGUAUAGUCUCUAAGUAGCCAAAAAUGAUGAACAUCAGGACCUGCAAUACAAGUUUUUAUUCUUUGAUCAGUUUUGAUUUAUUCAAAAUGUGUCUAGUUUCAUGCAGGUCCACAUUGCAGACCCAAGUAAUUUAUUUCAGACUGGAUAUUACUAAGUGAAAGAAAAAGAAAAUGGACAGCUUUAAGAAACUGAUGCCUGGCUUGAAUGUUCAAAUUUAUGUACUAUCUGAAUGUCGUAAUCUGUGUUUCUAUGUUUAUUUUUGAGUUUCUGUGUGAUCCUGUUCCCUGUGAGUCUUGUCUCUGCGUCUUUCCCCGUUGAUUGUCUCCCAGGUGUGUCUCGUUCCCAUGAUUGCCCCCUGUGUAUUUGUGGGUGGCGAGUUGAAGUGAGGGUGGAUGUGUUGCUUGGUUUCAUUACAUUUAUGUAAUCCUGAUGCUGAUGGCGGCACCCAGUGUUUGUCUGGUCUGUCAGACAGUCCCAUGUCCUGGAGCUUACAUGUGUCAACAGUCAGACUGAAAACAUCCACACUAGUGUCCUCAGCAAAGUCACAGCAAACUCUUAUGCAUGAAAAACCAUAAAAGUGUCCUCGGCUAAGCCUCCACAGUGGAAACGUCAGUGUAGUGUUUUCAAACGUUUGCAACAAAACUUAAAUUUAACGCUUGCCAGGGGCCUAAAGUAGAUCAAACAAAGCAACAACUACAAGAACAUCUCCCCUGGGGUUCCCAUGUUGAAUCUCUGGUGACAGUAUUUCUAAAAGAAAGAAAAAAAAAAACA